GACGAACGCUGGCGGCGUGCUUAACACAUGCAAGUCGAACGAUGAAGCUGGAGCUUGCUCUGGUGGAUUAGUGGCGAACGGGUGAGUAACACGUGAGUAACCUGCCCUGGACUCUGGGAUAACCCCGAAAAAUCGGAGCUAAUACCGGAUAGGACCUUGGAUCGCAUGAUCUGGGGUGGAAAGUUUUUCGGUCUGGGAUGGACUCGCGGCCUAUCAGCUUGUUGGUGAGGUAAUGGCUCACCAAGGCGUCGACGGGUAGCCGGCCUGAGAGGGUGACCGGCCACACUGGGACUGAGACACGGCCCAGACUCCUACGGGAGGCAGCAGUGGGGAAUAUUGCACAAUGGGCGCAAGCCUGAUGCAGCAACGCCGCGUGCGGGAUGACGGCCUUCGGGUUGUAAACCGCUUUUAGUAAGGAAGAAGCCGCAAGGUGACGGUACUUGCAGAAAAAGGACCGGCUAACUACGUGCCAGCCGCCGCGGUAAGAC
rnacentral:rRNA from 1 species